rnacentral:sRNA from 1 species
UUUUUCUUUUAUAAGUGUAUAGAUAAAACAUGAUAUUUUAUGUAAAUGAGUUUUUUUUUUUUUACCAUCUAAAUUUAUUAUAUAUUGCAAAUUAUGAGAACUGUUAUAUAAACGAUUUUAUCACGGACAAUUCCUUUCGACUCUCAUUAGAUCCACGACAGACGACACCUCCUUCUCCUUUUUCUUCUCCAUGCUCUUGAUGAACACUUCAAUAUCUUUUCUGCGUAGAAUCCUCGCGAAUUGAUAUAAUUGUACAUCGUGUGAAAUCUCCUUCACACUUGCCUCCAUUAAUUUAUAGUUUUACUUUUAGAUGAGUUUAAAGACAAAACACCAAAUCAUAUAGUACAAGUUUGAACGAUAA